CCAACUAUAAAUAGGGGUGCUUGGUUCAUUUGCAAACCAUCCCUUGGCAAACCACUUCUCUCACAUUUGACUCCACUCCACCACCACUAUACCACCAUCACCUGCCACAUUCCUUCAUCAUCCAUCUUUAAAGUGUGUGUAGUAGUCUCGGGAUCCAAGAUUGAUCGUAAGAGUUUUUGUCAAACAAAGGCAUGCUUGGCUAAUCUCUUACAUCACUUGGUGAAGACAACCCUUUUAUGUAUUACUUUUGAUUUUCCAAACAAAGGCAUGCUUGGCUAAUCUCUUACAUCACUUGUGAACUUUAUUCUAUCAUCUCUAUAGGUUUUGUUGAUUCACUCAUUCGUAUCUUUAUGGUCUAUAUAAAGCAUGUUAACUGCCUGGAAGGGGGUUAGAAGGUGGUUUGGAUAAAGUUCUUGCCUUGUUCAGUGUAUAGAUCCUGCGAGGACUUGAUUCAAGCUUAUUUGGACUUCUCUUGAGGCAAAUAGCAUCAAAUCGGGGGAAGUAAGAACGGCUUGAAUCCCUUCUAAAUAAACUACAAUAAAAACUUUAAACUGGCCUUGCGGGACUAUAUCCCUGCUGACUCAGACCAAUAUGGCCGAGGGUAGCGGUAGCGUUGCCUCCAAAAGAGGGACAUGCCACUCUAAUUAAGACAAUCUCUUAACAAGAACCCAAAGUGCGGAAAUCAUCAAAGGAUACGUA
rnacentral:lncRNA from 1 species